GCGAUCGUAGCUCAGUUGGUUAGAGCGUUGGAUUGUGGAUCCAAAUGUCGCGGGUUCGAGCCCCGUCGAUCGCCCA
rnacentral:tRNA from 1 species